GACGAACGCUGGCGGCGCGCCUAAUACAUGCAAGUAGAACGCUGAAGGAGGAGCUUGCUCUUCUGGAUGAGUUGCGAACGGGUGAGUAACGCGUAGGUAACCUGCCUGGUAGCGGGGGAUAACUAUUGGAAACGAUAGCUAAUACCGCAUAAGAGUAGAUGUUGCAUGACAUUUGCUUAAAAGGUGCAAUUGCAUCACUACCAGAUGGACCUGCGUUGUAUUAGCUAGUUGGUGGGGUAACGGCUCACCAAGGCGACGAUACAUAGCCGACCUGAGAGGGUGAUCGGCCACACUGGGACUGAGACACGGCCCAGACUCCUACGGGAGGCAGCAGUAGGGAAUCUUCGGCAAUGGACGGAAGUCUGACCGAGCAACGCCGCGUGAGUGAAGAAGGUUUUCGGAUCGUAAAGCUCUGUUGUAAGAGAAGAACGAGUGUGAGAGUGGAAAGUUCACACUGUGACGGUAUCUUACCAGAAAGGGACGGCUAACUACGUG
rnacentral:rRNA from 1 species